CGAUGAACCACAUUCGGUGGGGAUUAGUGGCGAACGGGUGAGUAACACGUGGGCAAUCUGCCCUUCACUCUGGGACAAGCCCUGGAAACGGGGUCUAAUACCGGAUACCACUCUCACAGGCAUCUGUGGGGGUUGAAAGCUCCGGCGGUGAAGGAUGAGCCCGCGGCCUAUCAGCUUGUUGGUGAGGUAACGGCUCACCAAGGCGACGACGGGUAGCCGGCCUGAGAGGGCGACCGGCCACACUGGGACUGAGACACGGCCCAGACUCCUACGGGAGGCAGCAGUGGGGAAUAUUGCACAAUGGGCGAAAGCCUGAUGCAGCGACGCCGCGUGAGGGAUGACGGCCUUCGGGUUGUAAACCUCUUUCAGCAGGGAAGAAGCGAAAGUGACGGUACCUGCAGAAGAAGCGCCGGCUAACUACGUGCCAGCAGCCGCGGUAAUACGUAGGGCGCAAGCGUUGUCCGGAAUUAUUGGGCGUAAAGAGCUCGUAGGCGGCUUGUCACGUCGGGUGUGAAAGCCCGGGGCUUAACCCCGGGUCUGCAUUCGAUACGGGCUAGCUAGAGUGUGGUAGGGGAGAUCGGAAUUCCUGGUGUAGCGGUGAAAUGCGCAGAUAUCAGGAGGAACACCGGUGGCGAAGGCGGAUCUCUGGGCCAUUACUGACGCUGAGGAGCGAAAGCGUGGGGAGCGAACAGGAUUAGAUACCCUGGUAGUCCACGCCGUAAACGGUGGGAACUAGGUGUUGGCGACAUUCCACGUCGUCGGUGCCGCAGCUAACGCAUUAAGUUCCCCGCCUGGGGAGUAC
rnacentral:rRNA from 1 species